ACGCGCGAGAAAACUUCAACAGCGACAUCGACGUCAACGAGACAAAAAGAAACAAAAACACUGUUUUGUUCUGUUUUCGAAAAACAGAAUCGAGAUCAACGUACGCUAUUUUUUACUUACCGAUUCGCACUCUCCAAGAACAAGAGCUCCGCCAAUAGGAGUAUAGAACCGCCUGCGGAACGAAACAAGCAAAGUGGUAAAUAAUCCGGAAAUAGAAAUGUUAGCGAUGUUUACCGGCUCCGCACGGUGCUUUGACAAAGCUGUCGCCGGUUAGCCCGAGGCCGGUGGAACCGAAUGGCUCGAUCCGAUAGUCGCCAGGAACGACGACCGCGAGGAACGACGAACGGGCAUAAUCCGGAACAGGUACGUAGAAUCGGACGAAUCGCGAGAAGCGCAGGGACAUUGAUGGAACGAGAAAUGGUCUCGCCGGCAAAGGGAAACCAGCGGCAAGAGAGAGCGAGAGAUCCCCCCGGCAAGGAUGUCGGCAUCCAACGAUUUUUAACGGUAUUAAUCGACUCGUACCUUUCCCAUCACGGACAUCUCGUCAAGCCUUCACGGACGGACUCGUCUGCUCGUUUCUGUGCUCGAUCAAUCGGCCACGACCAAGCUGCGGCUCGCGAACCUCUUCGAAAUUAUUCGGAAUCCGUUCAACGCGCGAAAUCACUCCUCCCUUCCCUUUUAUUCGAUUGCCAGACGUCCCGUUCCAAUGCCUCAUUCUACUCCGGGGUCCGCGCGACCAAUCACCGUUCGCUUUCCGAUAGGAGCCAGUGCUGUACGAUACGAACAAUAUCUCCUGUUUAUGUGUUCGCGAAUUUUUGCUAAUCCAGCCCGGCGACCUUAACCACGCAAACGCGCCUCGCUCUCCCGUGCUAACGAACGUCCCAGAUGUUACGAAAGAUUCGGCACGUCCAUCUUGUUUUCGAUCUACGAAAAAACAGGGAGUUCCCGACAUGCCCGAUUUUUGUGAUAACGCGAAAACAUAAACAUCGUACUAACGACCGUGGAAUGGUUCCGUAUUUUUCCUCGUUCGUCGCAACAAAGUCUCACACGAUUCCAUUAUCGUUGACUAUUUUAAUUUAUCCGUUGCGCAACAUGUUGUUCUCUGCUGAGACAUUAUUAAGCGGUCUUGGAAAACUGGAAACGUGGAUUUUUAUUUGUUGUUGUCGUUAGUGGCGCAAUGAUAAACGGCUUUUGAAUUGUAUAACGUUCUACAAAGAAAUUAGCAUCAUUUUAACAUAACAUAGUGGCAAGGGGGCAUUAUGCAUGUGUAUCGGUGUUCUAACGAUGUCUCAUCAAUUAUCGUAUAAUUCUACCAGCGAUUCGGUUUAUCUGAAUUACCAUAUUUAUGCCUUUAUAUAUAUUUAUAUCUUGUUUUUCUUUUCCAACAUUUGUCAAUCAUAGUGAUGAGUCUAAUCUACCGUCAAGAGAAUUAUAUAAUUUUAGCUUUCGCGUUGUUCGUUCCGAUUUAGAAUAAAUUUCCUGUUCUACGUUUGUUAAACAUUUAUUAUUUGUAAAAGAUGAACGGCGCGAAUCGUUGGAUAAAAGACAGUAGUUUUAAUUAAUGUCACAUGUUACCUUUCUAACAAAAAAUACAUAUACGUAUGUCAUAUGUUUUUUUUUAUUUACAACAACUUUUUUUUUACCUACAACAAAAUGUCCAAGUUGUUUGCCGAUUUACCGAUUAUAUAGUAGUUUCGAUCAUAUCGCAACAGAGGGCAAACUGGCAACAGCAAACUAAUAAAAUAAAUACUGUCGAAUUGUUCUAUUCGAUGUUUUCUCAGCAUUUUGAAUUAUAUUCCUUAUUAUUUAAAAGUGCUUAUGAAAUUUUUCAAAAGAAAUUGACAGUUCUGUCAUCUGGCAUGAAAUGGCCUGAAACAAGUUGGUUAAGUAUAGUUUGGACAUUGUGCUACAGUUGGCGUCACCGUUUACCUUCCGUAAAAAUGAUUUGUCUUCGAUCUGAUUUAAAAUAAUUAUUUUUUAGAUUUUCCUUACAAAUGUAUAUUCUCAGAAACGAUUAACAGAGAACGACGUGACGUAUGAUUAAUAUGAUUUCGCUGAAAGGAACGAUAAGUAUGUUUUCUUGAAGAAAGCACGUUAUGCAAUCAUAGUUGUCGAACAGUUGAUGUAAGCUGGUGUAAUUUCAUCAUCGAUUAACAUUUUUAAGUUAUGUUAUUAUUGAGAUAGUGACCAGUGUACCAUGUGCUGUACUACAUAAUAUAAAAUACAGCAGAAGUGUACCACCCAUCGGUGAUCAGUGCGCUAUUCAACGUGUAUGAAUUUUGUGCACUCUAAUAAAAAUUCCUAAAACAUCGCUGAUCAAUCUUUCUGUUCAGAUAUCUCGUUCUGUCAGCGAUUAUUUCCUAAACUUAAAUUUGUAUUAUUGUAAAGCCGUGAAAUGGGUUUCUCCGAUUUCAUGAAAUGGUUAUGGAGUAAAAGAAUGCGAGAAAAUAAAAAUCAUAAAAGAUUUCUAUCUCUCGUUUACGCUUUCCUUGCGUGGAAUACUGUUCUCUAUGCUUAUUAUCAGAUGUGCGUAGAAAAAAACUAUGUAACCACCGAAGACCAAAAAGCUGCUUUAAUGAACUAUCAUAAGAAAAAGAAUGAUAAUAUCAGAAGUAUAGUUUUUCAUGGAUUCACUACGGUGAAAGAUGAUACCAUACCCAAAACAGAGGAAGAAGAAACAAAGGAUGAGAAAGUAGUGGGCUGGUCUCAUAGAAAAUUUCUUGGAUGAAGUUUAUUGAAUGAUAAUUUAUAAAAUAGAUUAAAAAAAAUAAAAUUUAACUAUGUUUAUGCUA